GGCGACCAACUUUAUCUGGCUGGUGUUGUAUGCUUUCUUGCAGAGAUAAUGGAUGUAAUCGGCUUCGUAUGCAUCGUAGACCAACCCUGGUUUCGCUGCUGCCAAUGGGUUGACAUGGCCAGCACCAUAGGCGAAUUCGCUAGCAUUGGUCUUCCUAGGGUCCAUUAUUGUAGCUGUACAUGUAUAGAUAAUAAAAAUGAAGAAACCAAGUUCAAUAUUCCGUAACUUGAUUUUGAAAAACGGGUUGAAACCAGACCUGUUGUUAUGAUUGCAGAUUUAAUCGCAGCUGGGGACCAUUCCGGAUGGAGAGCCUUGACAUAUGAAGCAACCGAGCUUACGUGUGGGCAAGACAUCGAUGUCCCGGAGAUCAUAUUGUAGUGUGCCUCCCUUGUAUCGAAUUCAAACCCUGAAGGCGGAUUGACAGGAGACCAAGCA
rnacentral:lncRNA from 1 species